rnacentral:lncRNA from 1 species
GGGCCACACAGCAUGGACUGGACACAGUCAGACAAGAGCCACGGAGUGUCUGCCAGUGGCAGUGGGGACAUUAGGCACCACACUGUCCACCAGGACUGCUCAUCCGCACGGAGUGUCUGCGCGGUGGACCAGACCCGGUCUCCCUGCGGGCGCAUGAGGCCAGCAGCCCCCUGCAGACGAGGUUAUGUGGGAGAAUCUGACGUCCUGGGCAGUGCGGAAAACGUGCAGGUGGGACAGAAAACAGCUGAAAUCCUGUGAAGUUUUACCAUAAAGCUGAACUUUGAAAAUCAAGAAUUUAUCCUGUCAUCCAGGCAGCAGUUUAAAAAAGUCUCACCUAAAUAUUAGUUUCUUAGAAAAGGCGAUUUCAAAGCAAUACAUUUAUAUAUAAUGAAAUUUUCCCUGAUGUGAACAGGUGCUCAGUCCUGUCCUGCAGAAACGCUGGGCUGGGAGCCCUGACGGGAGCGGGUUUGAGGGCACAGCAGGGCGACUCCAGAGAGCAGCACACGGCACACACAGCCAGAGCUGGAGAAGUCUGAAAACUUUCUCCAUGAAGAAAUUGUAAAUGUCUGGGGAGAUGGAUGUGCUUUCCCUGAUUUAAACACACACAAUGUAUACAUGCAUCAAACCAUUCUGCAGCACCCCAUGAAUAUGCAAUUUUUAUGUUUUUAUGUAUCAGUGAAACAGUAAAUAUAAAAAAUAUAAAAAACCAAACAUCGCCUACAAAAGGAAAGAAAUAUACUGUGAUAUAUGUUACAUCUACUUAUAUAUAAUUUUCAUUCACUGGUCGCUACAUCAAAACGUUGUAGUGAAAUUAAUUUUGAUAUACAUUGUUUUUAGUCUUAACGAGUUGGAAAUACCCUCUCU